UGGCCCAUAUUUAUCAAAUGACCAAAAACAUCCAUCGACGUUGUCGGACGGCCGUGACUCUGCAAAUCGAUCGGUCUGCGAGACUGUGACUCUGCAAAUCCUGAUAAAUGGAGAAGAAGCAGACGACAUGGCCAGGCCGAUCGGACGGCCGUCGUUUCACGGCUUUUCCGUUAUGGAACACCAAGGGUAAAAAGCACCACGAGCUCCACCAGACGAAGCACAGCAAUCGAAUGUCCGGCAGAAGAGCAUCGUCGUCAUCUUCAACGGACGGUCGCGAUUUCUCGGCCCUGCCGUACGAAUUGAUAAUGAUAAUCGGGGUUUCGCUGAGCCACCCGAACCUCAGAGCGGCGUCGUUGGCGUGUAAGUCGUGGUACAAGGCACUUCGGCCGCUGAGACAGGCGAUGCUGUAUAUGAGGUGGGGAAAGCGGUUCAAGCACGGCCGAGGUGGGGUCCAGCCCAACAUGGACAAGGCUCUCGACGCGUUUCUGAAGGGCGCGGCUCUGGGGUCCACCAUGGCUAUGGUGGAUGCCGGGCUUAUAUACUGGGAGAGAGGCCUCAAGGACAAGGCCGUCGCUUUGUAUCAGAAAGCUGCAGACCUGGGUGACCUGGCUGGGAAGUGCAAUUUGGGAAUUUCUUAUCUGCAAGUUGAACCUCCAAAUCCAAAGGAAGCUGUAAAAUGGUUAUAUCAUGCAUCCAAUGAGGGUCAUACCCGUGCCCAGUACCAGCUUGCACUUUGUCUGCAUCACGGCCGUGGGGUUGAUUGUAACAUAAAAGAGGCGGCAAGAUGGUAUUUGAAAGCUGCAGAAGGUGGUUAUGUGCGUGCCAUGUACAAUGUAUCACUGUGUUACAAAUUUGAGGAAGGGUUAGCACACAGUCAUCACCAAGCAAGAAAAUGGAUGAAGAGAGCAGCCGAUCGUGGGCACAGUAAAGCUCAAUAUGAGCAUGGACUCGCUCUUUUUUCUGAAGGAGAAAAGAUAAAAGCUGUAGUCUACUUGGAACUUGCUACCCGAGGUGGGGAAAGUGCAUCCGCUCAUGUCAAGGAUGUGAUUCUUCAACAGCUUUCAGAAACUUCACGUGAUGAUGUAAUGCUUCUUGUUGACCAAUGGCGUGCUUUGCCCUCAUCUUCCUAAUGGUUGGAAAAUCAUCCCGUCAAUUCAUGCGACCAUUUUGGGCUGCAUAGUCUUCCUCUUUCUGAUGAGUGAUGGUAGUUUCUUGUAUUAGAUAUGGAGAAGAUCCCCCAGCUGCAGCUGUAUAUGUCUAGAAGUGUUGUGUUACUAACAACAGUUUAUGCACUUUUCUAAAAAUUUGACGUGAUUGGCGUAGAAGUAAUAUUGUUGCCGAAAUACUGGUUUUAGUUGUGCAUGCUUAUUAGUGCUAUUGCACAGAAAAUUUGCAAUGCUAACUUAGGAAGAGUGAGUUAGUAAUGAUCUCAAAAGAGUGUCAUCGGGGAAUUACUUGUGUCUAUAGAGGUUUUUUGAAGUCCAGCCAUGUUGCUUGUAUGAAGUGAAUUCACAAUAUCAAUCUGACAGUUCCAGGACUUGUUAAGGAUAGUCAGGAUUCACCUUGCAGAUAUUCAGUGGAGCAAAUGAUCCCUCAGCCUUUGAGAAUGACUCCAGUGUGGUACAGAUUCAGGUGAUAUAUUGCCUUCGCCACCAAUUCUCUCAACUUACGGUCUGUCCCUUCAAGAGCAGUCAACACCCUAGUCGGUUCCAAAGAGUUGGUAUUUCCAGAGUGUAAUCCAAGAUAGCAAAGGAUAAUCAGUCCAUGCAACUUUGAGUGUUCGGUGCCUCUUAGCAGUCGGUUAUGAUCCCGUGGGCCCCACCAAACCACAUUCCUCUGAAGUGGAAAGUGCCCCCUGCUCUGAUCAGAGCCACGGUUGCCCCAUCAUACAUGUUGUUUACAUUGAGAAAAACUGAAGGUAUAAUCCCCAGGACUGAGCAUAGCAUUGGCCCCUUCUUGGUGAAUCUCUCAAGAAAGCAGCUAAAUAUGAACAGAGCCAACAAGGCAAGCCACAUCCCAGAAACCUGAGUCUAAAAUAUCGAUAAUAUCGACGAAAUAUUAAAGAUAUUAUUUUUUUUU